rfam:Rhizoctonia solani AG-1 IA unplaced genomic scaffold scaffold50, whole genome shotgun sequence.
UCACCACUCUGGCCUAUUGGCUUAGAUCAAGUGUAGUAUCUGUUCUUUUAGUCUUGAUCGACUAAACGCUAGCACUGCUAGCUAUCUCGAUUAUUCAAUCUUUGCCGCCCGGGUGGCCUGCUCCUCUGCUUGCACGAGCGGCUGCGAGAUGACGUUGCCACUGCAGUACUGGCUCAUGUCGUCGCGGGAU